rnacentral:rRNA from 1 species
AAGGGCACCACAAGAACGCGUGGAGCAUGUGGCUUAAUUUGACUCAACACGGGAAAUCUUACCGGGUCCGGACACACUGAGGAUUGACAGAUAUACGUCGUGUCGCUGAGUACUUGUACCGAGCGCACGACUGAAAGAUGCUAGUUCUUUCAUGAUUAUGUGAUAGGUGGUGCAUGGCCGUUCUUAGUUCGUGGAGUGAUCUGUCUGCUUAAUUGCGUAUCAAUAAAAGAGACCUACUAUACGCGUAGAACCAUAUGGUUUGUGACCCCCUCGCAAGAGGCGUGUGUCGCACAUAUGUUAUACGCAUAGGUCUCAGAUAGCAACGAACGUGACCGUACUCUAUUGUUGCAGUAACAUAUACGCCUAACCAACGUAUAAACCACUGCUUAGUGUGAUGCGCGUCUUACCAACGCGCGACACACAUUAAACUAUAGAGACCGCUGUUUCUUCUUUAAACCAGAGGAAGGAUACGGCAAUAACAGGUCUGUGAUGCCCUCAGAUGUUCCGGGCUGCACACGUGCUACAAUGAUCAUUGCACUGUGCAUCUAACCCAAUGUGCGCGGACGCACGAUUACGAAUGUGUGCCUCGGUACGUAUUCGUAUAUCUGUUGCGACCGCGCCGAACCUACUUCGAAAGUAAAAUUUCUCAGUGGGUAAUCCAUUAGAAGUAAUGACUCGCAUAGACCAUGGCACAUUAUAUGUACGCGCAAGUCUAUCCGGCCCGCCUUUGUGCGUGGUGCAGUGUAUAGCUUGUUGUUUCGUACGUGCCACUUACGUAUUAAUUCAUACGUGGGGACAGAUCAUUGUUUAAUUGUUGGUCUCGGUCUUAACUAGGAAUGCCUUGUACGGGUCUUUGGUUCAACAAACCACCCGGAAUACGUCCCUGCCCUUUGUACACACCGCCCGUCGCUCUUACCGAUGGAUUAUACUAUGAAUCUAUAGGACUGCCAAACUGCUAUGUGCUCGCACACUGCGGUUAGUGGAAAUAUAUAUGAAUAGUGUGAUCUAAAGGAAAGAGAAGUCGUAACAAGGCAUCGGUAGGUGAACCUGCAGAAGGAUCA